AUUUGCUCGUAAUGUACUUGGCUGGGAAGAUGCCAAUUCUACAGAAUUUGACCCUGAAACAAAACAUCCAGUGGUGAUUGAAAUGCCCGAGCACAAUCCGGGGCAGAUGGGAGGAACCAUGCGGUUGGGGAAAAGGCGCACCUUAUUCAAAAGCACCUCCAGCUUUCUUCGAAAGCUGUAUGGAGAUGCUGAAUAUGUG